rnacentral:rRNA from 1 species
GAUGAACGCUAGCGGCAGGCUUAACACAUGCAAGUCGAGGGGUAUAGGGAGCUUGCUUCCUAGAGACCGGCGCACGGGUGCGUAACGCGUAUGCAAUCUACCUUUUGCAGAGGGAUAGCCCAGAGAAAUUUGGAUUAAUACCUCAUAGUAUAGCAGUUUCGCAUGAAACCACUAUUAAAGUCACAACGGCAAAAGAUGAGCAUGCGUCCCAUUAGCUUGUUGGUAAGGUAACGGCUUACCAAGGCAACGAUGGGUAGGGGGUCCUGAGAGGGAGAUCCCCCACACUGGUACUGAGACACGGACCAGACUCCGUAC